UACAGAGAUGGCAAGCGUUGUUCGGAAUCACUGGGCGUAAAGGGCACGUAGGCGGUCUAGUAAGUCGGGUGUGAAAGCCCCUGUCUCAAGCAGGGAACUGCGCCCGAAACUACAAGACUUGAGGAUGGAAGGGGAGAGUGGAACUUCUGGUGGAGCGGUGAAAUGCGUAGAUAUCAGAAGGAACGCCGGUGGCGAAAGCGACUCUCUGGUCUAUCCCUGACGCUGAGGUGCGAAAGCUAGGGGAGCAAACGGG
rnacentral:rRNA from 1 species